UUCCUGACCUCGGAUCAGACGUGAUUACCCGCUGAACUUAAGCAUAUCACUAAGCGGAGGAAAAGAAACUAACAAGGAUUCCCCCAGUAACUGCGAGUGAACAGGGAUAAGCCCAGCACCGAAGCCUGUGGCCAGUUGGUCACUAGGCAAUGUGGUGUUUAGGUCGUUCCGCAAAAGCGCUGCUCCACCCUAAGUCCAUCAAUGAGUACGGUAGUACGGACAUGGCCCAGAGAGGGUGAAAGGCCCGUGGGGGUGGAGAUCAGGCAGGCCAGCGCUUUUCUGGAUAGAC
rnacentral:rRNA from 1 species